rnacentral:ncRNA from 16 species
AUAAAUGAUGAACAACGGGUCUACCGAGUCUUUCCCGACGGGGCAGGACAAUGAGGAACCGUUGGAGCACUGAUA